rnacentral:miRNA from 1 species
UAAAAAAACCAAUGUUAACUGU